UCUGCCCUACGGGACGCAGCAGUGAGGAAUAUUGGUCAAUGGGCGCGAGCCUGGACCAGCCAAGUCGCGUGAGGGAUGACGGUCCUACGGAUUGUAAACCUCUUUUGCCGGGGAGCAAGCGUGCGUUCGUGAACGCGCGUCGAGAGUACCCGGAGAAAAAGCAUCGGCUAACUCCGUGCCAGCAGCCGCGGUAAUACGGAGGAUGCGAGCGUUAUCCGGAUUUAUUGGGUUUAAAGGGUGCGUAGGCGGGAUGCCGAGUAAGCGGUAAAAAUGCGGUGCUCAACGCAGCCUAGCCGU
rnacentral:rRNA from 1 species